rnacentral:rRNA from 1 species
UACGUAGGGUGCGAGCGUUAAUCGGAAUUACUGGGCGUAAAGCGUGCGCAGGCGGUUCUCCAAGUCCGUUGUGAAAGCCCCGGGCUCAACCUGGGAAUGGCAGUGGAAACUAGGGGACUGGAAUCUGGCAGAGGGGGGUGGAAUGCCGCGUGUAGCAGUGAAAUGCGUAGAGAUCCGGAAGAACACCAGUGGCGAAGGCGGCCCGCUGGGCAGUGGCUGACGCUGAAGCGCGACAGCGUGGGGAGCAAACAGG